rnacentral:tRNA from 1 species
GGGGUUGUGGCUCAACGGUAGAGCGCUCCCCUAGCGCAGGCGAGGCCCUGGGUUUGAUCCUCAGCACCACA